CUGAGUAUGUAGCUCAGUGGUAGAGUGCUUGCCUGGCAUACAUGGGCUAGGUCCUGGGUUCUAUUCCCAGUACUGGGG
rnacentral:tRNA from 1 species